GUUGUAUGGUUAAGUGACUAAGCGUAUACGGUGGAUGCCUUGGCAGUUAGAGGCGAUGAAGGACGUGUAAGUCUGCGAAAAGCUGUGGUGAGCCGACAAAAUGCAUUUGAGCCACAGAUGUCCGAAUGGGGAAACCCACCUAUUUAUAGGUAUCGUUACAUGAAUAUAUAGUGUAACGAGGCGAACGAGGGGAACUGAAACAUCUAAGUACCCUUAGGAAAAGAAAUCAACCGAGAUUCCCCUAGUAGCGGCGAGCGAACGGGGAUUAGCCCUUAAGCAAUUAUGAACGUAGUGGAAGCCUCUGGGAAGUGGCGCGAUACAAGGUGAUAGCCCUGUACACGAAGUGUUUGUUUUUGUGAAAUCGAGUAGGUCGGGACACGUGUUAUCUUGACUGAAUAUGGGGGGACCAUCCUCCAAGGCUAAAUACUCCUAACUGACCGAUAGUGAACCAGUACCGUGAGGGAAAGGCGAAAAGAACCCCUGUGAGGGGAGUGAAAUAGAACCUGAAACCGUAUACGUACAAGCAGUGGGAGCAGACUUGUUCUGUGACUGCGUACCUUUUGUAUAAUGGGUCAGCGACUUAUAUUUAGUAGCAAGGUUAAGCGAAUAGCGGAGCCGUAGCGAAAGCGAGUGUUAACUGCGCGUUUAGUUGCUAGGUAUAGACCCGAAACCCGGUGAUCUAGCCAUGGGCAGGUUGAAGGUUGAGUAACAUCAACUGGAGGACCGAACCCACUAACGUUGAAAAGUUAGGGGAUGACUUGUGGCUGGGGGUGAAAGGCCAAUCAAACCGGGAGAUAGCUGGUUCUCCCCGAAAUCUAUUUAGGUAGAGCCUCGGACGAAUUCCAUUGGGGUAGAGCACUGUUAAGGCUAGGGGGUCAUCCCGACUUACCAACCCUUUGCAAACUCCGAAUACCAAUGAGAACUAUCCGGGAGACACACGGCGGGUGCUAACGUCCGUCGUGAAGAGGGAAACAACCCAGACCGCCAGCUAAGGUCCCAAAAUAUUGCUAAGUGGGAAACGAUGUGGGAAGGCAUAGACAGCUAGGAGGUUGGCUUAGAAGCAGCCACCCUUUAAAGAAAGCGUAAUAGCUCACUAGUCGAGUCGGCCUGCGCGGAAGAUGUAACGGGGCUAAGCAAUAUACCGAAGCUGCGGAUACGUGUUUACACGUAUGGUAGGGGAGCGUUGUGUAAGUGGAUGAAGGUGGAUUGAGAAGUCUGCUGGACAUAUCACAAGUGCGAAUGCUGACAUGAGUAACGAUAAUGGGAGUGAAAAACUCCCACGCCGGAAGACCAAGGUUUCCUGUCCCAUGCUAAUCAGGGCAGGGUAAGUCGGCCCCUAAGGCGAGGCAGAAAUGCGUAGUCGAUGGGAAACGGAUUAAUAUUUCCGUACUUAUAUAAUCAGUGAUGGAGGGACGGAGAAGGCUAAGCAAGCUUGGCGUUGGUUGUCCAAGUGAAAGCAAGUAGGCCGAGUGUUUAGGUAAAUCCGGACGCUUAAAGCUGAGAUGCGAGACGAGCUACUACGGUAGUGAAGUUGUUGAUGCCCUGCUUCCAGGAAAAGCUUCUAAACUUAUGAUUAUAUGAACCGUACCCCAAACCGACACAGGUGGUCAGGUAGAGAAUACUAAGGCGCUUGAGAGAACUCGGGUGAAGGAACUCGGCAAAAUUGUACCGUAACUUCGGGAGAAGGUACGCCCUUGUUUGUGAUAGGACUUGCUCCUUGAGCAGAUGAGGGCCGCAGUGACCAGGUGGCUGGGACUGUUUAUUAAAAACACAGCACUCUGCUAACUCGCAAGAGGACGUAUAGGGUGUGACACCUGCCCGGUGCCGGAAGGUUAAUUGAUGGGGUUAUCUUCGGAGAAGCUCUUGAUCGAAGCCCCGGUAAACGGCGGCCGUAACUAUAACGGUCCUAAGGUAGCGAAAUUCCUUGUCGGGUAAGUUCCGACCUGCACGAAUGGUGUAACCAUGGCCACGCUGUCUCCACCCGAGACUCAGUGAAAUUGAAAUCGCAGUGAAGAUGCUGUGUACCCGCACCUAGACGGAAAGACCCCGUGAACCUUUACUACAGCUUGGCACUGAACAUUGAACCUACAUGUGUAGGAUAGGUGGGAGGCUUCGAAGCACAGUCGCUAGAUUGUGUGGAGCCGUCCUUGAAAUACCACCCUUGUAUGUUUGAUGUUCUAACAUUGGUCCCUUAUCGGGAUUAUGGACAGUGUCUGGUGGGUAGUUUGACUGGGGCGGUCUCCUCCCAAAUAGUAACGGAGGAGCACGAAGGUUAGCUAAUCACGGUCGGACAUCGUGAGGUUAGUGCAAUGGCAUAAGCUAGCUUAACUGCGAGACAGACACGUCGAGCAGGUACGAAAGUAGGUCAUAGUGAUCCGGUGGUUCUGUAUGGAAGGGCCAUCGCUCAACGGAUAAAAGGUACUCCGGGGAUAACAGGCUGAUACCGCCCAAGAGUUCAUAUCGACGGCGGUGUUUGGCACCUCGAUGUCGGCUCAUCACAUCCUGGGGCUGAAGUCGGUCCCAAGGGUAUGGCUGUUCGCCAUUUAAAGUGGUACGCGAGCUGGGUUUAGAACGUCGUGAGACAGUUCGGUCCCUAUCUGGUGUGGGCGUUGGAUGAUUGAUGGGAGCUGCUCCUAGUACGAGAGGACCGGAGUGGACGAACCGCUGGUGUUCGGGUUGUCAUGCCAAUGGCAUUGCCCGGUAGCUACGUUCGGAACGGAUAACCGCUGAAAGCAUCUAAGCGGGAAGCCGGCCCAAAGAUGAGUCAUCCCUGACUUUUAAAGUCCGGAAGGGUUGUUAUAGACGAUGACGUUGAUAGGCAGGAUGUGGAAGCGUUGUAAGGCGUUAAGCUAACCUGUACUAAUUGCCCGAGAGGCUUAACCAUACAACGCCCAAG
rnacentral:rRNA from 1 species